rnacentral:lncRNA from 1 species
UUAAGCCUUAACUCAUUUAGAGAGAUAGGGAAUAAAGAUACAGUAGAGAGACUCAAAGAAGUCCUAAAGUGUGUUUUUUGAAGCAAUCGAUAAAAUGGGUACAUUUCUUGUUAUAGUGAAUCCAGAAAUAAAGAAGACAUGAAAGAGGAUGAAGAAAUGAAAAUACAUCUAAAGCAUUCAGAAAUCACCAGGAUACAGGCUGAAUCAUACUUCAGGCCCAGGGAAGUGGAAGUCAUUUUAAUCUUGGACCAGUUAAAUUCUGUUUUUGACAGGAAUCCGGACUAAGGAGUUGACGCUGGAAUUGAGGAACUCACUGGCCAACUGGCAAGAAGAUUGUGGCUAGUGGUAAGUGAAGGCUGUGAGUCAAAAAGAGGCAAGUUCUGUUCAAGGAACCGACAGUAAUUGUCCUGGCUGGACUGCACAGAGCACGGCUGAGCUCAAGAACCAAGGCUGGGCCGAUUAUGCCUAUCCUUGUAGGACAUGUUUCAGUUUGGUCUUUCUCCUAAAGCAAACAGGAAGGCAUAGAAGGACCUUAAGCUGUGGAGCAACAUGGUCAUAUUUGCAUUGAAUGUAUUAGCAUGAGGAACAGACUAGAAAGGGGUGGGUGGUGACAAGAGAGGACCCUAGGAGGUGGGUUUAGAGGCUAUUGCAUUAGUCCAGGGGAGAAAGGGUGGUAGCUUGGACCAGGAGGUCGGCGGGAAGCAGAGGCCAUAGGGACCUUGCCUGGAAUUUGAAAAAGAACAAACAUUUCUGCAUUUAAUGGAAGAUUUGGCCAGUUGACUGUAGUGGCUCCUCUGAAUACCCUUUGAGAAUGUCUGAUUAUUUCACUAAAAGGCAAGAAACCGCUUAAUAAAAAUCCCGAUUUCCUCAGUCUUCUUUUGCCUUUAAAUCGCUACUAGUUGAUACAACACAAGGAAAACAACAUCCAAAUUUCUCCAUUCCAAACAGUAUCGUUCAGCCGGCUUAACCAGCACCCCAGCAUCUCCAUAGCGUACAACAGUAAGUGUUUAUUGCUUGAGCAGCUGUGGGUCAGCUGUGGGUCAGCUGACUUGGGAGAGGCGCCGCUGUGGUUUCUCCUUCAAGGUGUGCGUCUGGCUGGGCUUGGAACCUGCUGGGGGUUGGGCUCAGGUGUGAGCCGUGAAUAAUCAGCAUCCUGAGGCCGGGGCUGCAGUCGCAGCAGCCACAGACACACGAGGAGGAACUCAUGCUUCCGAGGCUUACAAGUGGCAGAGUGCUGCUGCUUCCAUCUUCCACUGGACAAAGCAAGUCACAAGGUGAAGACCACUAUCAGUGAGUUGGGGACAUGUCCUCUGCCUCUGAGAGGCCGAGGCAGGACUGUGGAUGCAGAUUACCAUUGUGGGGAGGAUUGUGGCUGAUACUCAGCCUAUCACAGAAAAGAACACCAGGGCCUCCUCUGCCCCACAAAACCUGAAAGAAUUUUGACAGUUCCUUUUACCUCAAUUCUUUCCUAACUAGCCCAAAGUGGUUCUUUUCUGUGUACAUUUUUCUUAAAGGGAUCGUUGAUAAAUUCUUUCACAGAGAAGUCUAUGUAAUUUUGUAAGGUGUUUCUCAAAUUCGAAGUUGCAACGACAUUUGUAAAGACAAAUAUAUUUAUUCAUAAGAGCCAGCCUUUGUAGAAGUCAGAAAGGAUUUUCUGUGAUUUUCAAAAGCUAAGUUUUAAAAACUGAGAGCUAAGUCCAGAGUACCGAGCAUAGGCUUUUACACACAAUACGAGUUGCUCUACCUUGAAAGAAAGAAUAGUUGUCAGUAGGUUAGAAGAGACGGUUCCGAGGGUACCUAGACCGGUCUCAAUGCUUGUAGGUUAAGAAGGCCUCUGAGCGAGACGGUGUCUGAUUUGGGGGACUCAUAGAUGAGGGGUUUUGUGCCUGGUCUUCCAGACUGCAAGGAGAAAAAUAUAAAAUCUGUUUAAAUUAUCAGCAGCUGAGGGACGGUGUUGAGGCAAAUGGACCUGGAGAUGGCAUUGUAGAAUGUGGCAUAGCCCGGGGUGGUGUGGCUGAAGUAGCCAGGGAGUUCCCGAGCCCCAUAAAGGGGAGAAGAAAUCCUUAGAAGAGACCUUGCCUCCAAAUGAGAAAAUGUAGAAUUUAUGACAAGUCAAGACGAGCAGCCUUAAGGGAGGAGUGACACCCAUGGUACCACUUCUAAAUACCUAAAAUUAUCAGGGAUGUAGUAUGUCAGGGCACAAGAUAGCAAUGACUAAAGGUGCUCUCCUCCAUUCAGGAGAAAGGCAAAUCACACCUCCUUUACUGGAGUGCCUCUCCUUACCUCUUGCUCCCCUGGAUUUCCGUAACUCCUAGAAAAAAGCAUAGGAGAAGGACAUUUGGAGAAACCUUGAAUACAUUGUUUUUAAUGCUUGUGUUACACGGGGCCAGCUUGUAAAACGGGGUGAUGGGACCACUGGCUCUGCAGAAUGAGGAGUAGUGGUGUCAGGGGAGCGUGAGCCUUGGAGUCAUGCAGACAUGUGGCCGUGAAUACAUUUGGAUAUCUAGCAGCAGAAUCUAAAGUUUCAACCUGGAAGUUACUGAGUUACCUUGAAUUGGGAAAAAUAAGAGCUUUCUGCCAUCAGUGGAAUUAGAGGUCAAAAUUGAGGUCACCUGGAAACUGAGUUUAUUCAUACAAGGGAAAGUUAGAUUUCUGCACAUAUGAGUUGUUACUAUGAAAUAUAAACACACACAUAUCAUUUGGAAAUAAGAAUUCCCAAGAUGCUUUGUUCUUAAACGUCUGGUCAGAGUCUCUUAAGGUAAAUAAGUCCCUCCUGUUUUGUAAUACUUUAGGAUUAUUGUUUCACCAUGCAGUUGUUUUGAUUUUUAUUGUUUCAGUUAUACGCAUUUCCAAGGUUAGAGAUUAAUGUAACAAAGUACAUAGUCCAGUGUAAUGAGGAGCAGAAUCAAAUUCUUCUCCCAUGAUAUCAGCCAAAGAUCCAAGAGUUCGCAACCCCAAAUCUGAACACGCUGGCUCGGCUAUCAAAGUAACAGCCAUGUACACAGUCUAGUACCAUUCAACAGAAUGAAGAUUUGUUCACUCAAAUGGAUUUAUUUUACUAAAAUCUUUUUUUUGUUGUUGCCAGCACAAGGUGAAAUGGAACGUUGGAAAUAAGCCUGAAAAGCUGGUCAGCAUAAGUAGCCGAACCAGAUAAUUAGCACAAAGCCACACUCAGCACCAUAUUCUUAGAACCUGUAGAGUACAAAUUAUCUGCAGCUGUGAAUAACUUCUAAUAGUUAAGCAUUGGGUAAACAUUUUGCUUUUGACCCGAACUGUAUAGCUUGGCUCUCUCCACAAGCAUUAUGGCCAACUUUCCAUUUUGUUUUGUACUUUCUGGACUUGGGCAAAAUCUGGACUGCUAAGAAACUGGAUAAUUUUGUUCUUAAUUUUGUAAAAUAAAGCUGAACUAUUUAACAAGUCAUUUAUUAUUCAUUGAGAUAUACUGUCUCUUGAUAAAUGAUUGAAAUAAUC